AUUUUGUUGCCCUUCAUUGCAUUUGUUUUAUGUCUUGUGUCUGUUUUCUGUGACAGCUGUGCACUGAGUUACACAACUAUCAGACAGAUUUGCAUUCUUUCAUGAGAGAGCAAUGCUGACCAAUGGUGGAACUGUGUGAUGUUGCAGCCUUGGGAGGAGGCACAAGGAUAAUUUUGAUGCUGAUGGUCUCUGUAGAUUCAACCUGCUCUUGGAUCUUUAACAUACUGUGGCACUAGAAAUCAAGAAGUUACCAUUAACUGCAUGGUCACCUGACUUGUAGGAGGUCAAGGAAAUAAAGAUGUGAACAGACAAAAAACCCCAAGAGGGGCUCAGAGAGGGAGUGCUGAGAGCAUCUGUUCUGAGAAACUGCUGUUCAAAAUGGAAGGAAAUACACAAAGCCAAGAGGAACCUCCGUCGUGAGAAGAGCUGAGAGGACACAUUGUUAUUUGCUGGUGCUGAUACCAAUAAAAACAUCUUCCAUUUGGAAUAUGAUCAUUACAUCACAAGUCACAUCAUGGGCGAGAUGAAGAACAAUGCCUGUAGGACUCUUAGAAAAGCCAUCUCCAUGAGCCACUGCCUCCUUCUCAGCACCAGUAUUCUGGAAAGAGCACACCUCAUAAAGUCCUCCUGAAGGGCAGAGAUGCUGGGGAAUUUAUCCACCAACUCUUUCCCCUGUGGGCUCAGAGGAGCUCCUGAACAUGGACAUCAGCUUCCUGUCACUGGAACAGAGCCUUCUAAAAGAAAUGGUUCAUUUUGGCUCAUGAUUUGGGAGGUUAUGCUCAUCACACAUUUGGGCCUGAGAGGAGGUAGAACAUUGCACUGAGAGUGCAUGGUAAAGCAAAGCUGCUCACCUCAGGGCCAGGAAGUGAAAAAGAGGGGGUGGGGUUACACAGUCCUCUCUGGGACUCUAAGCAACGUAAGGACCUGGGACUUGGCCCGACCUGGAGUUCCCACUGUCUCCCAGUGUGCCAGCCAGGGACCAAGCCUUUAACACAUGGGGCACUUUGGAGGACACUCAAUAUCUGAACUACAGUGAUGAGACAAGCCUGCCCUGUCCAGAGAACACCCUCAGGCAGGGCAAGGACAGAGGCUUUUGGCUGUGGGCAACCUGCCUGUUGGGACCACAGGAUGAAGGGAUGUUGUAAGGCAUAGGCAGCUCUGCUGCAGGGACUGUGCCUUCCCCUUUUGGCAUCCUCAGUACUGAGACCACAUCUGGAAGUUCAUGAACACUCAGCAAAUGUUCAAUGAACACAGGAAUGGGUGAGGAAUGCAUGCACAGAAAGCUUAUUUUUUUCAAUUGUUAUUGUUUUGUUAGUACACGUUUGCAGUACAUAAUAAUUACUUUCCUUGUGGAGCGUUGCUACAUCUCAAGGUGUGCGUGACACAUCUCAAUUCUUUUUUCAUCCCCUUAUCCUCCUCCUCCUCACUCCUUCCAUCUCAUGCUCCCCCUCCUUAUUUGCAAAAGAUCUAUCUCCCUAUUUCCUACUAUCUAUCUUUUAUUUUGCACUUUACUUAUAUUUCAAGUUUCACAUGUAAGAGAAACUGUAUGAUAUUUAAGCUUGUGUAUCUGGUUCACCUCAAUCAACAUUAUGGUCUCAAGAUGUAUCCGUUUUGGGCUGUUGUACCACCCCCACCAGGACAGAGGAGGUGAGCUGCACAGGCACCAGCAGCAACAUCCCUCUCCCCCCCCCCCCCCGUCUAAAUGAGAGACAUGUAAAGAAGUCUCAAAAACAGACUUCCAGAUCACCUACAGCAACCCCAAAGGGAAACAAAAUGGAACACUCUGAUACUCAACCUGGACUCCCUGAACUGGCAACAAAAGAGGAUCUGUAAAAAAUUACAUUAGAAAUAAUUUCUCAGAUAACAGCAGAGAUUGUGCUCAUAGUGCAACACAUGAUUAAUAAAUCUAGAGAG
ensembl:lncRNA